rnacentral:lncRNA from 1 species
UUCUAGUUCCUGAGCGAUGUCAUAGUAUUAGAGAGGAUUCACUUUUGUGAAUUCAAGUCUACCGUUCUUAUUUGGAAGUACGGGCUGCCAGUUAAAGUUAUGGUAUGCCUUCCCCAUUCCAUAGUACUUCCGUUAAAGCGGUAUGUUUUUAUCUAGAAUGAGAUUGGCUAUCUAGUUACCGAGCUCAAUUAGGAUAUGAAGGAAAUAAGUCUUUUGAAGAGGACCAGUUAUUGUUGGCCUACAAUGGUAUCCUACCAAGUGUUUGAGUAUC